GGAUCCAUAAGCUCAAAACCGGAAAGAGCACCCGCAUUGGGAGGUUGGUGGUUCGAAUCCACCUGGGUCCU
rnacentral:tRNA from 1 species